CCCAGACAGCCAGGAUGUUGGCUUAGAAGCAGCCAUCAUUUAAAGAAAGCGUAAUAGCUCACUGGUCGAGUCGGCCUGCGCGGAAGAUGUAACGGGGCUAAACCAUGCACCGAAGCUGCGGCAGCGAACGUAUCACUUAAAGCGAUUCAGCGGGUUACGAUUGACGGAGCGAAGCGACGUCAAAGCGUAUACAAAGUCGAGUCGGUUUAAGGAUACGUUCGUUGGGUAGGGGAGCGUUCUGUAAGCCUGUGAAGGUGGCCUGUGAGGGUUGCUGGAGGUAUCAGAAGUGCGAAUGCUGACAUAAGUAACGAUAAUGCGGGUGAAAAACCCGCACGCCGGAAGACUAAGGGUUCCUGUCCAACGUUAAUCGGGGCAGGGUGAGUCGACCCCUAAGGCGAGGCCGAAAGGCGUAGUCGAUGGGAAACAGGUUAAUAUUCCUGUACUGGGUGUUACUGCGAAGGGGGGACGGAGAAGGCUAUGUUAGCCGGGCGACGGUUGUCCCGGUUUAAGCAUGUAGGCGGAGCGUUCAGGUAAAUCCGGACGCUUACUAACGCUGAGGUGUGAUGACGAGGCACUACGGUGCUGAAGUAACAAAUGCCCUGCUUCCAGGAAAAGCCUCUAAGCAUCAGGUAACAUCAAAUCGUACCCCAAACCGACACAGGUGGUCAGGUAGAGAAUACCAAGGCGCUUGAGAGAACUCGGGUGAAGGAACUAGG
rnacentral:rRNA from 1 species